CCAGCGAUCCUUUACGUUUUACCUUUACCUGCCUUUUGUGUACAAAUAAAUGGGGUUGAUUCAUUACCUUGUUAUUGUAGACCUCUGGUAAGGGAACCUAAUAUGCAGGAACAGGAGAGUAAAAGCAAGUUAAGAAACCCCAGUUUGGUCCAAGGUGCAAAGGACAUAAUUCUCAUGAACAUGGUGAGCAAUGUGUUGGCGUGCCAGGCAGUGUCUCCUUGUUAUUCAGGUGAACAGCAGUUGUGGGCUGGUACAUUGGCCUGUUUCUCUCUCUUUCAGCAUCAGCAUGACAUCACAAUGGCCUUUGUCUCUCCUUCUGGUUGGACACAUCAAUGUGAGAACACAGUGGCCAGUCUGUGAAAUAGGCAACAUCAGCAUGAGAUCACAGUGGCCAGUUUUUCUCCCUCAGGUGGCUAGCAUGGGCCACAGUGGGCAGCCCCUGUCCUUCAGGCAGGGAGCAUCAUCUUGUGGGGAGAGGCAUUCAUUCAUCUUCAUUCCUCUUCCACUCAGGCAGGCAGUAGCAUGUGGACAGAAUAUUUAUUUCUCUUAUGGAAGCUGCCAAAAGCAGGUGCAUGUCAACACAAUCUCUUUCUCAGUGAGGCGGGCUUAGUUGGGAGCAGAUGGUGGACCCUGUAUGUUCACCUUAGUGAGGUGGUCAGCAGAAGUAUGAGUGAAGUGGUCAUCUCACCGAAAUGGGCAGCAGCAUGUGGACAGAGAAGCUGCUCCAUAGUCGCCUUUAACUGGACUUAACCGUCCAGGGGUCCUUUACCUUUACCUUUUACCUUCCACGAAUUCGUCUAAUCCUUUUUUUAAAGCCAUCCAAGUUGGUGGCCACCACUACUUCUCUCAAUUCGCAUUUUUCAUACCAGGCAUAAUUUCACACAUCUUUACCACAGGCAGUUUAUCCCCCUCAGAGUUAAAUUCCCAUAAGAAAUCAGUUUCUGGGAUUUGUGUGUGUUAAAUGUGAUUUAAGGGUCUGCUGUGGAUGGGACCUUAGUCAUGAGUGUAGCCCUUUGUUACUUGCAUAACAAGUGACACCUCCUUCCCUCCAGACCCUCCCAGGUAUUAAGAUCAGCAGAGGUGGUCCUCUUAGCAGUUCCAUUACCUACACAGGUACAGUGGUGGUGACCCCCGAGAGGGAGUUUUCUGUGGCAGCCUCUAAGUUGCGGAAUUCCCCACAGAGGUGCAUCUGCCACCCUCAUUGUACCAUUGUCUCAGUACGUUUCUGAGCACAAUUCAAGGGGUUGGUGCUGACCUUUAAAGCCCUCAAUGACCUCGGCCCAGUAUACCUGAAGGAGUGUCUCCACCCCCAUCAUUCAGCCUGGACACUGAGGUCCAGCUCCAAGGGCCUUCUGAUGGUUCCCUCCCUGCAAGAAGUGAGGUUACAGGGAACCAGGCAGAGGGCUUUCUCGGUGGUGGCGCCCGCCCUGUGGAAUGCCCUCCCAUCAGAUGUCAAGGAGAUAAACAACUAUCUCACUUUUAGAAUACAUCUGAAGGGACUCCUGCAUAGGGAAGUUUUUAAUGUUUGAUUUCUUGUUGUUGUUUAGUCGUUUAGUCAUGUCUGACUCUUCGUGACCCCAUGGACCAGAACAUGCCAGGCACUCCUGUCUUCCAAUGCCUCCUGCAGUUUGGUCAAACUCAUGCUGGUAGCUUCGAGAACACUGUCCCACCAUCUCAUCCUCUGUCGUCCCCUUCUCCUUGUGCCCUCAAUCUUUCCCAACAUCAGGGUCUUUCCAGGGAGUCUUCUCUUCUCAUGAGGUGGCCAAAGUAUUGGAGUCUCAGCUUCAGGAUCUGUCCUUCCAGUGAGCACUCAGGGCUGAUUUCCUUCAGAAUGGAGAGGUUUGAUCUUGUAGUCCAUGGGACUCUCAAGAGUCUCCUCCAGCACCAUAAUUCAAAAGCAUCAAUUCUUCAGCGAUCAGCCUUCUUUAUGGUCCAGUUCUCACUUCCAUACAUCACUACUGGGAUGAUUACUUACUGUGUUUGAUUUCUUACUGUGUUUUAAUUUGUGGGAAGUUGCUCAGAGUGGCUGCGGUAACUCAGCCAGAUGGGCGGGGUAUGAGUUAUAAAUACUACUAUUUAUUAAUACUAAUACUAAUAAAAUAUAUAUAUAUAAUUAUGCAAUGUUCAUCAAAUUUUGAAGAUGUUCCUCUUUAUCCUGGCCUUUUACACACACACACACACACACACACACACACACACAAACAAACACUAAUGCUGUAUUUUAUAAUGUUGUAACCUGCCUUGGGACCUUCUUUCUGGUGGUGGCAGCAGCUGUAACAUGGUGUUUUUGUUCCAGGGUGAUAGGAGAGCAAAACAUUGCUUUCUUCUCAGUGAAGUAAAUGGUCUUAAACCCAGGUGCUCUGGGCUUAACCGGUUUGCACGCCAUAAGCUAGGAGAGCAAUUAACGGUGCCCUUUUAAUGUUGCCUCUCAAUACCUUGUUGGCUCCCCUCCCCACAUGGCUCCUGGGUGUGGGGGGGCGGGGAGGGAAGGAGGAAGGUUGUCAAAAGCUCUUCUCCUUGUUCAGCAGUUUUCUGGAAAACAGGAUAAGUGCCCGGCCCGUCUCCCAUCAGCAAAAAAUUAGCCGACUGAAUGUAAAGUUCAGCCCCCUCCCCAUGAACUCUAAGCCUCCAGACUAUUCACUUUCCCAGCUGCUGAAUAAUAAAUACCAACACUUACACAUGCAGGGCAGGACAACAUGCUGAUGUAAUCCUACAAAAGAACAGGCUACAGCUCUGCUCAGACAGGAUUUCUUUUUCUUUAGAAUUUAAAAGUCACAUGCAGAGUCCUUCGAGGGUGACCCUUUACACGUGCUCCGAGCUUGAGGAACUUGAUUAUUUUGCCAGUCAUGUCAUAUCUGGGUAAAUCUGCUCCCUUGUUUUUCCUACUCACAGCCAGCUAAGGAUAGGAGGGGAAAUUUGGUUCACUUCACAUUUUAAUGCCAACCUAUCUAAUUUGAACUUCUCGCAACGAGACACAAACAAAAAAA
rnacentral:lncRNA from 1 species